rnacentral:rRNA from 1 species
GAUUUCUGACGAAACUGCUAGCUGGCCCGCCUCGCAAGAGGUGAGUGCCGGCUUGGCGUUUGUCAUCCGUUCGAAUGAUAUGCGUGCUGCCCUUCACUGGGUUGGCGCUGCAUGUUUUCGAUCUUUUACUUUGUUUUGCUAUGAAUACAUUAGCAUGGAAUAAUAAUCUAGGACUUUCGGUUCUAUUUUGUUGGUGUUCUGGAGCUGAAGUAAUGAUUGAUAGGGGGUGCUAGUAUUCAAUGGCCAGAGGUGAAAUUCUUGGAUUCCUUGAAGACUAACUUAUGCGAAGGCAUU